rnacentral:rRNA from 1 species
UACGUAGGGGUGCGAGCGUUAAUCGGAAUUACUGGGCGUAAAGCGUGCGCAGGCGGUUGUGCAAGACAGAUGUGAAAUUCCCGGGCUUAACCUGGGGGCUGCAUUUGAUACGUGUUGUCUAGAGUGAGGAAGAGGGUUGUGGAAUUCCCAGUGUAGAGGUGAAAUUCGUAGAUAUUGGGAAGAACACCGGUGGCGAAGGCGGCAACCUGGUCCUUGACUGACGCUGAGGCGCGAAAGCGUGGGGAGCAAACAGG